rnacentral:rRNA from 1 species
UACGGGGGGGGCAAGCGUUGUUCGGAAUUACUGGGCGUAAAGGGCUCGUAGGCGGCCAAUUAAGUCGGACGUGAAAUCCCCAGGCUCAACCUGGGAACUGCGUCCGAUACUGGCUGGCUUGAAUUCGGGAGAGGGAUGCAGAAUUCCAGGUGUAGCGGUGAAAUGCGUAGAUAUCUGGAGGAAUACCGGUGGCGAAGGCGGCAUCCUGGACCGACAUUGACGCUGAGGAGCGAAAGCUAGGGGAGCAAACGGG